rnacentral:ncRNA from 1 species
GCCAGGGGUCCUGAAAAGGAUCUCCAGAUCGCCAACGAAGCACUUCGUAGCGGUCCGUGUCCCAACAGCCCACAAGGCCGUACGACGAGGUUGCGACUGGAACGAAGUUGUCCUGAGGGACGGGGAAGCGUUUAGCGUCAGACAGAUCGACAGCCCGGCAGGUGCCCAAGGUUUCCACGAGCCGACCGGCCCACGCCAAGCGCCCGAACUGUUC